UAUAGAUCUUAGAGCUAGCCGGUUCCUGGAUAGACGUGCAGUGCCAUGAAGCAAUUUGUUACAUCGUGAGACCUGAUAUCACGCGAUACUGCCUGAUGCCGAGUCUGGCG